GUCCCGUCAAGAUUUAAGAAAAAGAUAGGCCAAACGAAACCUUUCACAAAAAAAUACAGAGUAAACUAAACUGUACAUACUGUUUUUGUAAAACCACACUAUAGAGGCAGUGUUCAUUUUGAAGGAUAUGUCGAUCUCGCUUCACGGUGAAGAUUUCACGUCUCUAAGCUGUGUAGCAGACAUCAAGGGGAUGGCGGUGUACUGGUUCGGAAUUUGUGGAUCCUAAAGCUUACGAAUGUGAAAGGCGUUUUGAAUUCAGGAGUUGGUGAGGUGUUUUAGAAGUGGUGAGCCUGCAAACUGACUUUGGCAAGUGCUCAGACUUGUCUGGGAGUAGAAGAGAUAACUCUGAGUGAGUUGAAGAAAAUAA